rnacentral:rRNA from 1 species
UAGUCCACGCCCUAAACGAUGUCAACUGGUUGUUGGGAGGGUUUCUUCUCAGUAACGUAGCUAACGCGUGAAGUUGACCGCCUGGGGAGUACGGCCGCAAGGUUGAAACUCAAAGGAAUUGACGGGGACCCGCACAAGCGGUGGAUGAUGUGGUUUAAUUCGAUGCAACGCGAAAAACCUUACCUACCCUUGACAUGCCAGGAAUCCUGCAGAGAUGUGGGAGUGCUCGAAAGAGAACCUGGACACAGGUGCUGCAUGGCCGUCGUCAGCUCGUGUCGUGAGAUGUUGGGUUAAGUCCCGCAACGAGCGCAACCCUUGUCAUUAGUUGCUACGAAAGGGCACUCUAAUGAGACUGCCGGUGACAAACCGGAGGAAGGUGGGGAUGACGUCAGGUCAUCAUGGCCCUUAUGGGUAGGGCUACACACGUCAUACAAUGGCCGGGACAGAGGGCUGCCAACCCGCGAGGGGGAGCUAAUCCCAGAAACCCGGUCGUAGUCCGGAUCGCAGUCUGCAACUCGACUGCGUGAAGUCGGAAUCGCUAGUAAUCGCGGAUCAGCUUGCCGCGGUGAAUACGUUCCCGGGUCUUGUACACACCGCCCGUCACACCAUGGGAGCGGGUUCUGCCAGAAGUAGUUAGCCUAACCGCAAGGAGGGCGAUUACCACGGCAGGGUUCGUGACUGGGGUG